rnacentral:misc_RNA from 1 species
GAUGAAGAACGUAGCGAAAUGCGAUAAGUAAUGCGAAUUGCAGAAUUCCGUGAGUCAUCGAAUCUUUGAACGCACAUUGCGCCCCUUGGUAUUCCGAGGGGCAUGCCUGUUCGAGCGUCAUUAUAACCCUCAAGCUCAGCUUGGUGUUGGGGCCUGCUGCACUGGCAGCCCUUAAAAUCAGUGGCGGCGCCAUCUGGCUCUAAGCGUAGUAAUUCUUCUCGCUAUGGAGUCCUGGUGGACGCUUGCCAUCAACCCCCAAUUUUUCUAUGGUUGACCUCGGAUCAGGUAGGGAUACCCGCUGAACUUAAGCAUAUCAAUAAGCGGAGGA